GGGCGUGUGAGUGGUGUUUGGAAUGUUGGGAUGGUAGGCUCCGUGCUUUUUGCAUCGANCUGCCACACCGCAUCCUUUUCAAGCCUCAAGCAUUGCUUUUAUGCUUGUGAGUCGACCGUGUUCCUGUAUCUGAUACCCAUGUCGGAGGAACUAGGCCCCUACUCUUUUUUCCUCUCGGUGCCUCUCAGGGGGCAUCGAGCGGAGCACGUAGUCUGAUCCCUCGAACCUAGCAUGCCCGUUUGGUUGCAACGGUUGUCGGAUCAAAAGCUCGUGUUCUCGGAUGCGGAAUAUUCGAUGGGUCCAAGGAUCGUAUCCUUGCAUCGACCCUGUGUGGGAAAUCGUCCCUCGGUAAGAACGACAUCCGCUGCGCGUUCCGAAACAUCCUACGUCCUCUGGGGCUGAGGGUGUUUCGUGCGUGCACCGGUGUCCUCGGAGGAAUGCUACCUGGUUGAUCCUGCCAGUAGUCAUAUGCUUGUCUCAAAGAUUAAGCCAUGCAUGU
rnacentral:misc_RNA from 1 species